rnacentral:rRNA from 1 species
AUUGAACGCUGGCGGCAUGCCUUACACAUGCAAGUCGAACGGUAACGGGCCUCCGGGUGCCGACGAGUGGCGAACGGGUGAGUAAUACAUCGGAACGUGCCCGAUCGUGGGGGAUAACGAGGCGAAAGCUUUGCUAAUACCGCAUACGAUCUACGGGUGAAAGCAGGGGACCGCAAGGCCUUGCGCGGACGGAGCGGCCGAUGGCAGAUUAGGUAGUUGGUGGGAUAAAAGCUUACCAAGCCGACGAUCUGUAGCUGGUCUGAGAGGAUGAUCAGCCACACUGGGACUGAGACACGGCCCAGACUCCUACGGGAGGCAGCAGUGGGGAAUUUUGGACAAUGGGCGCAAGCCUGAUCCAGCCAUGCCGCGUGCAGGAUGAAGGCCUUCGGGUUGUAAACUGCUUUUGUACGGAACGAAAAGCCUUCUUUUAAUACAGGAGGGUCAUGACGGUACCGUAAGAAUAAGCACCGGCUAACUACGUG